UAGUCCAAAUAUGAAAAAUAACAAACCACAAAUACAAAACAAUCGCUUUAAACCCUAAAUUAAUUGUAGUAACAAACCACAAACACAAACCAAUCACCUAAAACCCUAAAUCACUUGUAGUAACAUACAACAAAGAGCAAAAGUGGAGGAAGAAGAGGCAUCCUGCAGUAGUCAGAGCUAAAAAAUUCAAAGAAAUCUGCAAUUGAACAUAGGGCUCAAGAAUAGAAACUUUAUAAGUACAGAGAGAUGAAGAAAUAUAUGUGCAAUUAAAAAUCACAAUUUAAUAUUUUCCACUAAACAUGUUCAACAACACCAGCACUGCAGUUGAAAAAAUCACAUCCAAAUAGCCAACACUCAAAAACAACUUUGUCUACUAAAUUAAAUCAAUUUUACAAAUUCAAUUUUUUCAAACUUCUAUAAUGUGAGCUAUAUCCAACAUAUACUGUAACUUAUCCCUAAGCAUACCUUAAUGACAACAAUUUGAGUUGUAAGAGCACGGCGACGAAGAGAAUUUAUGGGUUAUGGGAUAAGGUUCACAUUGACGAGGGUGAUUGGAGAAGAUGAGUGUGAUUGGAGAAGAGGAACGAUUAAUGGGAAACGAUUGCUCUAACUUCGAUUUCUCUGAGUUCCGAUUGCUCUGAGUUUGAUUACAGAGGAACGAUUUCUAUCGAAGUUCGAUCCUUUAAGUUUGAAGCUAGAAGACGAUUGAUUUCGAAUCUAUGGUUUUAGUUCAAUGUUUCCUAGGAAUGGUUUGAAAGAAGCUAGAAGAAGUUGAUUUUGUUUCUAGGAUUUGAGUUCUAUGUUUGCUGGAAGUGGUUUGAAGAUCGUGGGAUUGAGAUUGGGAGUGCGAAAAUUUGAN
rnacentral:lncRNA from 1 species